CUGGACCCUGUCCUCUUUGCCAAGCUGCUGAGCUCGUUUUCCUGUUGCCUUGCAGCCCUCUGGGCGGUCAUUGUUUGGGUGUGCACUCCUGCCUGUUUCUGGGUACAACACUGUCUUCUAGGAGUUCUCACAAUGAACAAAUUUUGAAGGCACGCCAGCUCGUGCUCAGACUUCCUUUUCUCUGUUUGUUUUCCAGAAUUCAGGUCAGUUUCUAUCUCCAGAUCUUCCUAUCACAAGAAAUUGGAUUUCAGCUCUGGUUUUCUCCAUGGGACACAGCACAAACAUUGGAUUGGGGGUCACCUUCUGACUUAAAUCACUUCUUGUCUCAUCAUGAAAGAUAGGACCCAGGGAGGCCUUUGUGAAAGGAAUGCAUGUGAGCUGAGUGGCACCGAUGACGAGAAGCCAGCCACCAAGGGCCAGCUGGGAGAGUGUCCCUGGCAAGAAGUGCUGGUGCAAAGUUUGGAGAUGGGGAAGAGCUUGGAAAAAUACAGUAAGCAGGAGAGGAGAGGAGCCAGAGAGAAGCAGAAGACCAUCAAUCAAUCAGCUGUGCCCUUGAACGAUGCCUUGGUGGAUCAAGUCUCCUUCACCUGGUUUGGCUUCUGCACAGUGACUGGCGGUUUCUAAAAGCUGAAGUUGAAGACGUUGCUGUACAAGAAUGAAGAAAGUCCUAGAACAAAUGAUGUGAACCAAUAAUGUGGUGGUUUAUUCCAACCAACUCUUCCAUUACCCAGCGUAAGAACAUCCGUUGGACUCCGUUUCUGGAACACCACAAAGUGAUAAAAUUCUUUGAAGCUUCACUUCUGUUGAAAAUGUCCAUCACUCCUGCCCUCCUUCCUGCCCCUCCUCUCCCAGCUGGUCAUCUUUUAUUCAAAGACAAAAGGAACUUUAAAAUGGGAUGGCUACAUGCAUUUCCCGGCAUGAGUCCCUUUGGAAAUUAAUCUUGUGCUCAGUUUUCCCUGAUUUAUGACAGUCUUUACCUCCUUCACACAUCAAAGAAGCCAAUGAAGAUGAAAAUAAUUCUCUUAUUUGUCUGAGGGGCUAGUCAUGAGAGAGUGCCAGCCCUCCAUCAUUAGUCCCCAAGGACAUACCUCACAUAGCAGUGGGGUUGCCGAAGAAUUAAAAAUGUGUGUGUGCACGUGUGUGCACGUGCAUUUGUGUGUGAGUCAUGAGGGCACAGGCAUAGCUUUCUGGCUACUGUCCAGGGCAUCCUUUGGGCUGGUAAGUGGGGUUGCUGCUCACCCCCACAGACUAUCCGAUGUCCCCUUCCUAAUGAGGUCUGCACAUUCGGUUGCUCUGUGAAGCUCUCUGGGUGCUCCACCAUCCUCUCACUUUGCAUCAGCUGGGAAGCCUAAGACAGCAGGAGAAAGGGCGAGGUGGGGAACAAUCAGAGGCACAAAGGAUCUCUAUUACCACUCCCUUCACUCUGGCACAGUCUCUGGAAGACUUCUGCCAUGGCCCAUACUCAAAGGCUGUUCAUCACGGCCUGGGGGAGCUUCUGAAAAGCUCUGUGUGUCAAGUCCCCCAUGUGGCCAGAAGACACAGGAGACCACAGAGCAUAUAAAUGGAGCGACAGAAAACCAUCCAUCAAUGACCAGACGGCUAGAAGAAACAAAGUUCAAAUAUUUAGCUCAGGAUCUCAAAAGACCAGAAGGUUAGCCUCCCUCUGCUGUUCUCAGGACAGGCAUUGUGUUCUGGAGGAAGUUGUCAAUCAUCUUAAAUCUAGACUCUAGGCCCACUUAAGCACAUCAUAAGAUCAAAGACUGUGCAGGCUGAAGGGAAAGACCUGUUGACAAGGAUCUGAUCAGCACAGACGACCAGAGCCGUGGGAGUCAGAAACCAGUUCAGUUCAACAACCAUUCAUUGAGUGCUUACUAAGUAUUAGGCCCUGUGUUGGGUGCUAGGUAUGCACCCAGAAAUAAAUAAGAGAAGGGCUCUGCCCAAAGGAUUUCACAAUUUCAUCCAUUCUCAAGCCCAUGGGCACAUAAGCUUGAGAUUAGUGCCAGCGCAGAGCAAUACCCAGAGUGGUUGGAGACUAACCCAGGUGUUUAAGGAAAGCUUCCCGGAGAGUAUCACACCUGAGUUCAUACCUGAAAGAUAGGUAAGAAAGGCUUGAGAUGACAAAUGAGAAGAGCAUUCCAGGAAGAGGCAGGAUGGUAAAUAAAGGUAUGAAAAUCUGUGGAGAACUGCAGGCAGCUUAGUCCCAUGGGAGCACAGCUCAUCAGAUGGAGAAAUAUGGGCUGGGGAGGUCGACAGACAGGUCAGAGCAGAGGGAGGAGUGGUCAGAUUUGCAACAUAGGGUGUUGUUGAGACCGGAUUGUAGCAGGUAGGUUUAAAAGAGGCAAAAGAGAAAGACCAGGCAGGUACUAUGGGAACAUUCUAGGUGACAAAGGUAUCAAAUCUACCUAGGUCCACCUGGAUACAAGUCAUUUUCAAUGGGGCUUUAGGCUGCAAGAAUUGACACACAAAUUUGGAUGUUUCUAGAAUAAGAGAUCCAGUGAGUAGAUCCACCCACUGCCUUGGGGAAGAAACUACCCCAGUGGCGUGAGGCACGGCACUCAGUAACCUAAAAUCCAGAAUCCAGUCACUUCCAUUACUCACCCACAAAGGCUUGUUCAACCAGUGUGGAGGAAAGAACUAUCUGCUGGCAAGGCCUAUUGCUAAUUAGCCAACAAAGGUGUCAUCCACCUUCAGCAAAGGCAGGAGGAAGGUCCAUUUUAAACCCAGGGUAAAGGCUGACAUGGGGAGGGGAUUAAUUUGGUUUCACAAACAUAGCAAUCUUUCCAUAAAGGAGGAGUCAAAGAACUCUUUAAUUGGGUCUUUAUCAGCUUCCUGAACCAUCCUUUUGGAAAAAUUAAACUAGAAUGUUUUCUCUCUUCUUUCUCCAUCUGUCCACCCUCCCCUCAUUUUUAGAUGCCUGAGCAUUGGCCCUGAUGCUUAGAGUGGUAAGUGAUGAGAUCUCUCAUGAGCCAAUGUGACACAAUUACUCUGAGCCCUUCUUUUCAACUGGUUUUCUUUAUUUUAUGUUCCUGAAAAGACUCUGAAAUCUUGUAUUGGAGAAACACUCCCUGCGUGUUUCUCUUUUACUCCCACCCUACUACCACACCCAGAACAUGUCAUUUCUGACACUUCUGGCCACCCAAUGUGUGUGGGUUUUUCCACACAUCAGGCAAUUCUCUGCAACACAAGGUGGGUGUCCUAUAAUUCAAUUCAAUUCUGACACUAUCCACCUGGAGAUAGCGUCAGAUCACACAAGUUAAGUGCUCAGUCCCACACAGCUGCCCCACUUCGGAUGCCAAUCUCAAGUCCCAGGUUUUCACCUGUGCUUCAGACUGACUGGCUAUAAGUUAGGGUUCCCAAGCCCUCCUACUUGGAUUCAAUACUUUGCUAGAAUGGCUCACAGAGCUCAAAGAAACACUUAACGUUUACCAGUUUGUUAUCAAGGAUACAGAUGAACCGCCCAGAUGAAGAGAUACAGAGGGUAAAGUCCAGAACGGUCUUGAGUGCAGAAGCUUCUGCUCCCAUGGAGCUGGGGUAUGCCAUUCCCCUGGCACAUGGAUGUGUUCAUCAACUCGGAGAUUCUAACCUCAUACUUUUGGGAUUUUUAUGGAAACUUCAUCACAUGGGCAGGAUCGAUUAUGAACUCCAUUUCUAGCCCCUUUCUCCUCAGAGGGUAGCAGUGGGGCUGAAAGUUCCAAGCUUCAAAUCAUGGCUUGGUCUUUCUGAUGACCAGCCUCCACCCUGAAGCUAUCCAGGAGCACACCAAGAGUCACCUCCUUAGAGCAAAAGAUAUUCUUAUGACCCAAAAAAUUCCAAGGGUUUUAGGAGUUCUGUGCCGGGAACUGGGGGGCAGAGGCCAAUAUAUAUAUAUAUAUAUAUUCUAUUAUUACACAAACCCCCAGCAACCUUUUUCCCCCUGGAAUACUGACAUUAUCUUUCAGUUUCUAUUCUUACCACUUAGUCAAAGGGAGGCCAGUUUUUUCCGCCAAGAUUUAUUUCAGAGGAAAAUGAACAUGUAACACAGAAUAAGUCUUUAUGGUCAUAUUGAUGAGGAUUUUUAGGAUGAGGAUUUUUAGGCUGGUUAAUUUUACAAUUACAGAUGAGAA